GACGUAGGGCGCGAGCGUUGUCCGGAUUUAUUGGGCGUAAAGAGCUCGUAGGCGGCUUGUCGCGUCGACUGUGAAAUCCCGCGGCUCAACUGCGGGUCUGCAGUCGUUACGGGCAGGCUAGAGUUCGGUAGGGGAGACUGGAAUUCCUGGUGUAGCGGUGAAAUGCGCAGAUAUCAGGAGGAACACCGGUGGCGAAGGCGGGUCUCUGGGCCGAUACUGACGCUGAGGAGCGAAAGCGUGGGGAGCGAACAGG
rnacentral:rRNA from 1 species